UCUUCCCUCUCAUUUUUUCAUGUUUCAUCCAAACAAUGCCUUAAAGGUCUUAUGAGUAGUUAGACCCCAAAAAAUGUAGGAUAAAAGCUGAAGUUCUAAUGGUUCAGUCUCAAUUUCCUGCUCCACAAGACUCAAAGCUUCAUCUUCAAGUUCUUCCUCCUCUUCCUAAUCCAUCAAAAUAAUUUGAAAAUUUUUUAUUUAGCAAACAUGGUCUUGCUCCCAUUUCUCUCCACACUUAAAACCAUAAUCCCUUUCUUUGUCUAUCAGCCAAUUCUUCUUGAGACAAUCUCCUCACUCCUUACGCUUUUGGCCUAUUUGACCCACUACUACUUAUUCCGACAGUAUUCAUUGAAGUAGAAGUAAUGUUUGGGCCCACAAUACACUUGGCCACUCCUGCACCUCGCACUCUAUUACUCGUUUGGACAUUUGGGCCUUGCUACAGUGUGGAAUUCUUGCUUACUCUCUCACUCUCUCACCCUCCACCUCUGCUCGUUCUUCUUCUCUCUCAAUGUGCUUUCUCUCGCGGCAGCCUAACUCUUCCAACCUCUUCAGGAUCAUUUCCAUGGUGCCACUCUACUCCUCUAUGGAAGAUUCAUAGCACAAUAUGAGGUAAAUCCAAAUAAGGUUCGAGAAGCACUACAAAAGCUUGAUCAAGAAAUCCAGUCUCUCUCUCCAAUAAACCAAUUUCUUAUCCAAAAGUUAUAGAUUUUGGGAAUUGUAGAGAACGUGAGCUGCUUUAAGUGUCCACAUUGUGGUGAAUCAUCAUAAGUAAAAGUCUAGGGGACCAACAACUUUUGUGUUUUCUGACCAGCACUUAACCAUCAAAAUAAAAGUGAGUGAUUUCUCACCAUUAGAUGUAAUCUUACACCAUUAAAAACACUAUUGAUGGCCAAUUGAUAAUUACAAAAUACCAAAAUUGUUGGCCCCUAGCAUUCCUCAUCAUUAUAUGUAUUUAGUAAAGGAGGGGCACCUAAGACAGCCACUGAAAUAGAGCUAGAAUAUCUGUACGAGAUAUGCUAGUUAUCUCUAUAUGUAGAAUGUACAUAUUAGAUUAUAAUUUUGCAGUGGAAGCUUUAUUAUAUGAUAACUUGUAACUUCUUUAAUUUUUGGUUGAUAAAGCUAUAUCUUUGUGAAAAUGCAAACCAAAGUUUUUUAGGGUAUUACAUAAACUCUCAAAAAUAGUAAGAAGUUAGUGUUUUAAGCUUAUCAUCUCCUGUUAGCUACUCUGAGGCACCUCUGAAGAAAUCUGAGUUAUUCACUCAAUGGAAAGCUUGCAAUCAGGGAGUUCCGAGUGAUAUCAGGAACCAAGUGUCACGGUUUUAGAAUGUUAGAUUUAAGGUGUUUGUAUAAUAUUCUACCGUGUUUGAGAAUGUUUUAAAUAGUUUCAGAAUAUUUUAGAAUGCUUUAAAAGGUCCCAGAAUAUCCUAAAAGGUUCUAAAAGACUUUGGAAGGUCAUAGAAUAUUUUAGAAGAGUGUGGAUGUAUAUAGAAGUAUGAAAAGUAGUAUGAAAUAAUCUAGAAGUAUUUAGAAAAAUAUAGUAGGAUAGAUAUUUGUAGUGAAGGUCUGGAUGAUCAAUCUGGACCGUUAGUUAAAUUUUAAUCAUAACCAUCUAUUGAAGAGGUGGAAAUAGAGGUGAGAGUUAAAGUUUGGGUGUGUAAGUCAUUUGUAACAAACACUUGAAUAAUAAAGUGUUCUUUUAACCAAAGCUUUUUUUCUCUUGUAUUCUU